rnacentral:rRNA from 1 species
GACGUCGGAGGCGAGCGUUGUCCGGAUUCAUUGGGCGUAAAGAGCACGCAGGCGGUUUGGCAAGUCGGAUGUGAAAACCCGGAGCUCAACUCCGGACCUGCAUCCGAAACUGCCCGACUAGAGGUAGGUAGGGGAGAUCGGAAUUCCUGGUGUAGCGGUGAAAUGCGCAGAUAUCAGGAGGAACACCGGUGGCGAAGGCGGAUCUCUGGGCCUUACCUGACGCUCAGGUGCGAAAGCUAGGGGAGCGAACAGG